GAUGAACGCUGGCGGCGUGCUUAACACAUGCAAGUCGAACGAAGCAUUUAGGUGAAUCCCUUUCGGGGGUGAAGCCUAUCUGACUGAGUGGCGGACGGGUGAGUAACGCGUGGGUAACCUGCCUUACACAGGGGGAUAACAGCUGGAAACGGCUGCUAAUACCGCAUAAGCGCACAGUGUCGCAUGGCACAGUGCGAAAAGAUUCUAUCGGUGUAAGAUGGACCCGCGUCUGAUUAGCUGGUUGGUGGGGUAAUGGCCUACCAAGGCAACGAUCAGUAGCCGGCUUGAGAGAGUGAACGGCCACAUUGGGACUGAGGCACGGCCCAAACUCCUACGGGAGGCAGCAGUGGGGAAUAUUGCACAAUGGGGGAAACCCUGAUGCAGCGACGCCGCGUGAGUGAAGAAGUAUUUCGGUAUGUAAAGCUCUAUCAGCAGGGACGAAAGAAGUUGAAAAAUACUUUGUGACGGUACCUGACUAAGAAGCCCCGGCUAACUACGUGCCAGCAGCCGCCGUAA
rnacentral:rRNA from 1 species